UACGGGGGGAGCAAGCGUUGUUCGGAUUUACUGGGCGUAAAGGGCGCGUAGGCGGCGCGACAAGUCACUUGUGAAAUCUCUGGGCUCAACCCAGAACGGUCAAGUGAUACUGUCGUGCUAGAGUGCGGAAGGGGCAACUGGAAUUCUUGGUGUAGCGGUGAAAUGCGUAGAUAUCAAGAGGAACACCUGCGGCGAAGGCGGGUCUCUGGGCCGAUACUGACGCUGAGGAGCGAAAGCGUGGGGAGCGAACAGG
rnacentral:rRNA from 1 species